UAGAGCUGCGAAGAGAAGAGAGAGAUAAGAAGAAUUGGGAAUCGGUGCGUAAAAAGGAAGGCUGGGUGGCCAAGGACGAAGUACAUCGCAUCCUUCAGCCCCUAAGUACCCUCCAGGGACCGGAGCCGAGGCCUGGGACCCUGCAGGAUGGGAAUUCUGCGCGUUCCCCCUCCCCACGCGGCGCCGGGCUCCGGCUGCUCCGCUUCCUCCUUCCUGCAAGUCAGUCCCGCGUAACUUUGUCGGGACUUCGGCCAGAUGGAGCGGGGCCGUCCAACAUUAUCUGCGCUAAAGCUGUUGAGCUCCCAGAGUUGCCAGUUCCCCUGGGGCUGUGACCUCAACUCUCAGGUAUAGUGGAGGCUCUUUUAAAAAUGGGGAUCGAAAAUUACCGGUGGGCUGCAGUGUCUUUUUUAUAUUUUUUUGUUUAAAGAAGAAACUGCGGCUGCUGCGACGGACCUGUGGGGCAGUAGCGCCCAGCGCCGUGGGACUCCGCUCUGCGGCAACCAAGCGCGCUUUCCGGUGGAGCAUUCCAGCCGCCCGGCUCCCGGCUGCAGAAGCCCGGCUCUGCCUCUGCUUCCCGAUCCGCUGCCGCCUAGUGAGACUUUAGCAACAGGUAAACGUGCUCACUCUUCUCAGCCCAGCCUGCAGUUUGGAGACUUUCCCAAGCCCACAAUUCAGGUGGCCUCUGAUUUUUUUUUUUAAGUUGAAUUUUCCUCUCCAGUGCCUUUUUAACCCCAUCCACCCCGUAGCUCUCGGGGAAGAGAAAUUGCUGGGGUAGAUCCCAGAACGUCUUGUCUUCCGGAGGAAAAAAGUAUGCAAUGCUUUUACGCUGGGAACGUGGAGUUUCUGCAGCUGCUGAAACCCAGCCUGCUCUACGGAAAGGCAGUCCUGGGCUUGGAUUCCGCUGUAUUUUCCUUCCUCAUCCUCCGCAUUUGGGAACUUUUUUGCAAACUUUUGGAUUAGGGAAUAAAACUCGUGCAGGUAUGAGAGCAGUAAGUUAAAACUAGCAAUUUGGAACUUCUCUGCUUGGAGAAAUGUAAGCAACCAAUUUUGCAACCGCGGCAAAUGGAACUUUGAAUGCACUGUUUUGGUGCUGGUGGAGCGAACUCACGCCCCUGGCCAGCCUUUUCAGCGACUGGUGCCAAGAGUCCUCGUUCACCAGCGCCGCCCCUUUAAGAGAUUUAGACUGACUGCAGACAUUUUGUAACUUUUUAAAGUGAUCUGCCGGGCAAAUAACGCCCAAUCGGAGGCCUUUUCACCUGAUGUCUAGUCAUCGAAUUGUUGUUUCCCCUGACGCCGGGGGCAAAGGGCAGUUCCCAGAAGGAAAACAGAGCUUGACCGAGCGCAAGAACCCCUCUCUGCUUCCCAGCUGUUCCCGUGGGACGUGGAAAGGAGCCCAAUCAGCUUUGUGACCACACUAGAAGGGACCCGGCUCCUCCGGAGUGGCCACGGACCUCUGCCCAGGGCCAGGACUGAAAGCCAGUUUGCUCUGUUCAUGGGUAGCAGUUCCCCAGAGCAAAGGGCAAACAAAUCUUUGGCGGGAACGAUGAGGAUUAAGAAUACAAGUAGUCUAUGUCGUCUGGCUUGGCAGCAGCCCUACCCACCCACCCGGGUCGUUUCUCCCGGUGGCAGAAGAGAAGGAUACAGGCCUUUGUUUUUUCUUCCCAGAGGAAGGGAAGAACGACGGCAUUUUCCUUACUAUCCAGCUGAUCCCACUAAAGAAGCAAAGCUCCUGGGAAAGAUGCCCCGGCAGGAACAAACAACUUGGCUCUCACCCUAGCCCGGAGAAAAGGUAGCAGGACCUCCCAUCUACACCCCCAGAAAGUUGCUGGCAAAAUGAAGGAGCUACUUAAUAAAGAUUCCUCCCAGCCCUGCUUUCCAAGACAAUCAAGGAAGGGAUGAAGAGACCAGCCUCUUCUUGGACCUUGCCAACCCAGUGAUUCUGGAGCCUACUACCAUCAACGUGGUAUAGAGCAAGGGUCCUGCAAGAGAGGAGACAAUGAAGGGGCAGCCUUGGCUUUAUCUGGAAAAGGUUUGAUGAGUUCCAAAGAGAAUCCAGACAUCCCCAUUCAUACUAAGUAGCCCACCAGAUCUAAAAUUAAGGUGUUAAAAUUUCUUUCUUACUCCAGGCCUAUCUUUUCAUCCUCUCGUUUACUAUUAAUGUUUUGGAAUUUUUCAGAUAUUUUUAAAGAGGUGAUAAUUUUUACUAGAAUUUGCAAUAUAAGUAACUACUUCAUAGAGUAGAGUAUAUGGUGAAAUUAACCAAGCAGUUAAUUUUUAAAAAUCUUGACAUUAAUAAUUCAUAUUAGCAAAAACCCUUGGAGUCAAGUGGUCUUAUUCUCUUUAUCCUUUUAAAGUUAAGACCAAGGCUACCAAUGCCUGAGUGAAGGGGAAAUGAGAGUGGGGAAGGAAUAAUUGUUUAUCUGGGGCCUACUAUGUGCCAGACUUGUGCUAAGUGCCUUACAAAUGUUUGAUUUGCUCCUCCAUUGGAUGACUUAUUCAAGGCUAUAUAGCUAAUAAGUGCAAAAAUGCAAAGAUGGGACUUGCACCAUCUUCCUGAGAGUCUGUCUGCUAUUCCUUAGUCUUAAGGAUACAGUGUGGAUAGAGCUGUAUACUUAUUAACUAAGCUAGUUUUUGCUUUGUUUUAUUUCUACAUGGUGACUUCUAAAUGAUUUAAUGAAGAAGGAUUAUAAAAUCAGGUAUGAAUGUGCAUAAUCAUUUGCAAAUGAUUAUAAAUUUAAGUAGUGGUUUUCCCCAUUUCUUGGAUUUAGGGCCAGAGAAAAGCAGGCACUUGAAGAACAUACUAAGAUUUUCAAAUGUCUGAGAAUAUUGCUAAUGCAAAUUUUGUUCCUCUAACAAUCAUAUCAAGAUUUGCUAUGUGACAAACUGGAGAAAUAAAGAGUUAAUGUUUGGGGGGCUAAGGAAAAAGUUAGGCUCACUAUAUAUUGUAUUGCCUGUAGUUUUAAUUUUUAUGCUGAUAAGUAUGUAAAGGCUGGGUCUUAGUUACUCUAGCAAACCUGAGAUAGUUUCAACAAAACCCCUGGGUAGUACAGAAAAUCAGCAUUGAUAUAAUAAAGCAUUUGCUUUUUAAUUGCUGAUGAACUACCUCCCUUCAAGCUGUUGUAAUUCUGGGUUAUAUCUCAGGGUUUUAAGACCCAGAAAGUAUCUCAAUAACAUUUAUAUUUAUAAAUGGUACCAAAAAAGCCCAAGUCUGAUCAAAAAAAAGUCUGACUGCUUUCCUCUUGUGUUAGCUAUUCAAAGCAUCCCAUGGUGGUAUUUUGUCCACGCACUAAUUCAAGUCUACCCUUGAGGGACAGAGAGAAAGAGAGAGAAAAUCAAUAUUAGAGUAGUCAUAUGUGAUUGGUUCAUUGUGUUUUUGUUCUGUGGUCUAUGUACCCAUUAAUGUAGGGGAUAUGAAUCAGCAUUGUGGUUUAGUUUAUAAGCUCCGUGGGGACAGGGUUUGGUUUUUUUGUAGUUCCAUUUGUAUAUGCAAUAUCAAACUAAUUAGUGAGAAAGACUGCAAUUAUAUUAAUGACAAAUAAAUAUGCUUGGAUUGCUAUAGAAUCUUGAAAGAUCAAAGUAAUCUAUGAAAGCAAAUUAAAUGGUGGGUUUAGAUUGGUGACCUACAAGUGAGUAAUGUUAGACCCCCAGUCCUAGUGGCCUUCCUGCAGGUGGGGGUUGUAGCCUUCUUCAACCUGUUGAGUAUAUUGUACACAAGGAGCUAAAUAAUAUUGGAUACUUCUGAAAGACAAAAAAGAAAAAAAAAAAAAAGUUCUCCAUUUCAUGGAAAGUCUCGGGCACAAAACAGCCUUGUGAUGAGUUUUUUUUUUUUUUUUUUUGCUGAGGCAAUCGAGGUU